GACGAACGCUGGCGGCGUGCUUAACACAUGCAAGUCGAACGGAAAGGCCCUGCUUUUGUGGGGUGCUCGAGUGGCGAACGGGUGAGUAACACGUGAGUAACCUGCCCUUGACUUUGGGAUAACUUCAGGAAACUGGGGCUAAUACCGGAUAGGAGCGCCUGCUGCAUGGUGGGGGUUGGAAGGUUUCGGCGGUUGGGGAUGGACUCGCGGCUUAUCAGCUUGUUGGUGGGGUAGUGGCUUACCAAGGCUUUGACGGGUAGCCGGCCUGAGAGGGUGACCGGCCACAUUGGGACUGAGAUACGGCCCAGACUCCUACGGGAGGCAGCAGUGGGGAAUAUUGCACAAUGGGCGGAAGCCUGAUGCAGCAACGCCGCGUGCGGGAUGACGGCCUUCGGGUUGUAAACCGCUUUCGCCUGUGACGAAGCGUGAGUGACGGUAAUGGGUAAAGAAGCACCGGCUAACUACGUG
rnacentral:rRNA from 1 species